AGAAAUAUGUCUGAUUAAAGAGUUACUUUGAUAGAGUAAAUCAAAGAGGUUUAAGCCCUCUUAUUUCUA
rnacentral:tRNA from 1 species